UCAACGGAGAGUUUGAUCCUGGCUCAGGACGAACGCUGGCGGCGUGCUUAACACAUGCAAGUCGAGCGGUAAGGCCCUUCGGGGUACACGAGCGGCGAACGGGUGAGUAACACGUGGGUGAUCUGCCUCGCACUUCGGGAUAAGCCUGGGAAACUGGGUCUAAUACCGGAUAUGACCACGGAUCGCAUGGUUUGUGGUGGAAAGGUUUACUGGUGCGAGAUGGGCCCGCGGCCUAUCAGCUUGUUGGUGGGGUAAUGGCCUACCAAGGCGACGACGGGUAGCCGGCCUGAGAGGGCGACCGGCCACACUGGGACUGAGACACGGCCCAGACUCCUACGGGAGGCAGCAGUGGGGAAUAUUGCACAAUGGGCGAAAGCCUGAUGCAGCGACGCCGCGUGAGGGAUGACGGCCUUCGGGUUGUAAACCUCUUUCGACAGGGACGAAGCGCAAGUGACG
rnacentral:rRNA from 1 species